ACCCGCUGAACUUAAGCAUAUCAAUAAGCGGAGGAAAAGAAAUCAACAGGGAUUGCCCUAGUAACGGCGAGUGAAGCGGCAACAGCUCAAAUUUGAAAUCUGGCUCUUUUAGAGUCCGAGUUGUAAUUUGCAGAGGGCGCUUUGGCUUUGGCAGCGGUCCAAGUUCCUUGGAACAGGACGUCACAGAGGGUGAGAAUCCCGUACGUGGUCGCUGGCUAUUGCCGUGUAAAGCCCCUUCGACGAGUCGAGUUGUUUGGGAAUGCAGCUCUAAAUGGGAGGUACAUUUCUUCUAAAGCUAAAUAUUGGCCAGAGACCGAUAGCGCACAAGUAGAGUGAUCGAAAGAUGAAAAGCACUUUGGAAAGAGAGUCAAACAGCACGUGAAAUUGUUGAAAGGGAAGCGCUUGCAGCCAGACUUGCUUACAGUUGCUCAUCCGGGCUUUUGCCCGGUGCACUCUUCUGUAGGCAGGCCAGCAUCAGUUUGGGCGGUAGGAUAAAGGUCUCUGUCACGUACCUCUCUUCGGGGAGGCCUUAUAGGGGAGACGACAUACUACCAGCCUGGACUGAGGUCCGCGCAUCUGCUAGGAUGCUGGCGUAAUGGCUGU
rnacentral:rRNA from 1 species